rnacentral:rRNA from 1 species
GGCUGCAGUCGAGAAUCUUCGGCAAUGGGCGCAAGCCUGACCGAGCGACGCCGCGUGGAGGAUGAAGGCCUUCGGGUUGUAAACUCCUGUCGAGGGGGAGGAAGGGGAAACCUUGACCGAUCCCUGGAGGAAGCACGGGCUAAGUUCGUGCCAGCAGCCGCGGUAAGACGAACCGUGCGAGCGUUAUUCGGAAUCACUGGGCUUAAAGCGCGUGUAGGCGGAUGGGAACGUCGGAUACUGAAAGCCCCCGGCUCAACCGGGGAAGUGGUUCCGAAACGACCUGUCUGGAGGGACGUAGGGGGAUCUGGAACUUCCGGUGGAGCGGUGAAAUGCGUUGAGAUCGGAAGGAACGCCCGUGGCGAAAGCGAGGUCCUGGACGUCUGCUGACGCUGAGACGCGAAAGCUAGGGGAGCAAACGGGAUUAGAUACCCCGGUAGUCCUAGCCGUAAACGAUGGGCACUGGGUAGGGGGCUCGCCGAUGGGCUCUCUGCCGUAGCGAAAGCGUGAAGUGCCCCGCCUGGGGAGUAUGGUCGCAAGGCUGAAACUCAAAGGAAUUGACGGGGGCUCACACA